AGUCUAGACGUGAAAGAAGCGCUCGUGUAGACUGACGCAUAUAUCCUCCAAAACAUUGAAGGCGACGAGCGCCUCUGUGAUGAUUCCUGUCGUCGCAUCAAUUGCAUCCUAUCGCUGUUUGACAAAAUGCCAAGGCGGGAGCGGAUGGUGUAAGAGGAGGUUGAGCGUGGACUAUCAUGUCGCAUCUACAUCUGAUGCCUAAACGUUGGUUUGUUUUCCACUCUCCUGCUGCUACGUAGAGUAAAAAGCGUUGUCGUCUCGAUGGCUUCAGUUAUCGCAUAAACAGCGCUCUAUAACUGCUCGACGAAAUGCCUAGCCGGGUGGGAGCUGCCUGGGAUUUGCUGAGAAGAAACUCCACAAGAGAUAAAUGAGGAAGGAGACCGAGGAAGCUAUUUCUGGAGUUGGUGUGAGUGUUACUGUCAUCAUCCCAUACAUUGUGAAGUAGGACAAAUUUAAAAGCAUGAAGAGCAAGAACCAGAGGAAUUUUACUAUCGAAAACUGGAAUCCAAUCAUUGGAUAGAAAAUAAAUGAAAAGAGGAGCAUUUGGAGUAUCACAAAUGGGGUUUCAACUGCCACCUGCAGAUGUUAUGAUGAUAUUCAUCUAUACAGAACUGAAAAAAUAAGCAGUGACGUAUCUAUUACUUAAUGUAUGCUGAUUGGUUUUCUAUGAAAAAGUGGUGGACUACUGUGUUUGUUGGUAGAAACAGUAUACUGCAGCACAUGUAUUGCAAUGCCUCAGAGGUACCGGGCAUGCUUCAUGCCCAGUUGUGCCAGAAGUGACAACACAUGCCUCAGGCAAUUUCUGGCAUUUUCCUUGCUAGAAAUGUAUUAUCAUACUCAUUGUCAUGGAAUGAUGAAACAACAAUCCUUGUGUUGGACUUUGAGUUCAUGAUAAAUCGUAAGUUCAUAGCAAAAUGCUGCAAUUUUGAAUGGAUUGCAGAAAUAAGAUUACCUGAGCAAUAGUGUAAGCCAUGGAAGUGUACAUUCCAGCUGAUCCUUCUCGGUAGAGUACUGUUCUCUCCAUCCAUACAAGAGGCUGCAUCAAAAUGGCAUUGACAAAACCUUGAAACAAUGCUGAUGCAUACAUGACUCUGAAAAUGUUGAAAAUAUCUUGUUCACUAGUACUGUUAUUCAUUGAAGAAAGAGCAGGGUUAAAAGUAUUGACAAAGACAUGAAACAUUGCUGUUGCUUACAUGAUUCCCAGUCUGUUGAGAGUAUCUUGUUCACUGAUGUUGUUGUGCAGUGAAAAAAAAGACUUAAACUCUCAGCUAUGGAGGAAAUCAUUCUGAACUCAAGAAAAUAUGUUGUUCACUGGUACUAUUGUUCAGCCAAGAAAACAGAACUAAAAGUUUCAGCUAUGCAUGGGGAAGAUCAUUUUGAACUUACAUGUUGGAGCCAAUUUUACAAAAUACUAUGGCAAAUAGAUUUGAAGUUCCAACUGUAGUCACAAAACGGACGACAUUGAAUUCUGGAUUUUUCCAAUAUGAUUUGUGUAAUUUCCACAAGCACGCACUACAUUGUGACCCAAAAUUCUGCCAAUAUUCAGACGCGAAGUGCAGAUCCUCUGAGUUUGGCCGUAUUUUACUCAGCUCACUAACUAGUUCCAUGUUUUCUCUGUUAGAUCAAGUAUAAAUUCAGCACCUCAUUUUAUUCAUAAAAAGGGGUGGCACAGUGCAGGAGGCUCCUGCUAAUGCAGGAUCUGUGGUGGUUUAGUGUGCACAACCUAGAGGCUGUUUCUAAGACUUGAACCCUUGACAUCCAGAUAGAAAAGAUGCAACCUUGUUAUGCUGCCAAAGCUCAUCUGCUAUUCAUUUUAAAUUUGUGGUCUUUUUACUUGAACCAAGAAUUUUGGUUGUGUUACCUGUAUAGAGAAGAACUUCGAAAGAUCUCUGCAUAGUCGAUGGACUUAUCAUAUUCCAUGAUUGAAGCAGCAGCACCUGCAGGGUAUUGGCGCAGACAUUGAACAAGGUUGGAAGAGGUCGUCGGCCUCCACGCUCAAGUUCUCAAAACGCACCUCAACCUUGGGAACUUGAAUCCCCAACUUGACCAUAAAACAUCACUUGGAGGAGGAACUCCUCGUUGUCCGCAUGGUGAAGGGGGCCUCUUGCCGUUCCAUGCUUGUGGAUCUCGUCUUCCUUCUGCCACUUCAACUUCGGGUUGUGCUACCAAGUAAGCCUGGUGUUGAUGUGCUGUUUUAGCGUGGCUCAGAUAUAUAGAGUGGAAGAGCAACGUGAGCAAAGUAGUAGUAGCAUGGGAACGGUGUAAAGGUGUAUCAGACCUGAAUCGGUUCUGGGUCGGAAUCGAAUCAGGUCAAUAGUUCGAUGAUAUCGAAUCAGAUGAGAAGCUGGGUCAUACGGUUCGAUUCUGAUUUCUAGAAAUUAGGAUGUAAAUCGGUAUGGUAGAAUGUAAAGCUCUGGUUUCAGUUCUUAGUGGAAAGGACUCUGUUCCACACCCACUGUCUCUGUUCAUAGUCUCAACGCAGGGUAAGAACAGGAGCCUAUUACAUGGAC